UACGUAGGGGGCAAGCGUUGUCCGGAAUCAUUGGGCGUAAAGAGCGUGUAGGCGGCCCGAUAAGUCCGCUGUGAAAGUCCAGGGCUCAACCCUGGGAUGCCGGUGGAUACUGUCGGGCUCGAAUCCGGAAGAGGUGAGUGGAAUUCCUGGUGUAGCGGUGAAAUGCGCAGAUAUCAGGAGGAACACCAAUGGCGAAGGCAGCUCACUGGGACGGUAUUGACGCUGAGACGCGAAAGCGUGGGGAGCGAACCGG
rnacentral:rRNA from 1 species